CCUACGGGAGGCAGCAGGCCACGGUAAGGUCAGCGACUGGGGUGAAGUCGUAACAAGGUAACCCGUAA
rnacentral:rRNA from 1 species